rnacentral:lncRNA from 11 species
CUGAUGUAUUCGUUAGAUUAAUGUGAAGUUCAAUUCAAUUCAAUUAAAAUUGAGAUUAAUGUGAAGUUGAACAUGGACUGGAUCCAGCCAUUCAUUUUUAUUGAAUUUCUCAGAAACUCUCAUCCUAUCCAAGUUCUAUCUCGGGCUGUAGUCUUAUUACAAGGAACACUAUGCUCAAUUCUUGGAAUAUUUAUAAACUGAAACAUAUCCUGAGGAAAACAACUGAGAUGACCAAUGGGCUGGAAACCAAGUUCUAUGAGGAGCUGAACCUGUUCACUCUGGAGAAGAGAGAAAAUGGAGAGGUCAGAAAGGAGGAGGAAGAACAACACUCAUUCCUUCAUAGUCUUCAGCAUGCGGGAUUGGUAAGCAUUUCCCCCUUUUUCUUUGGUACCUGUUUAAAAGCAAAUUAGCUU